CCCAGACUCCUACGGGAGGCAGCAGUGGGGGAUAUUGCACAAUGGGGGAAACCCUGAUGCAGCGACGCCGCGUGAGUGAAGAAGUAUUUCGGUAUGUAAAGCUCUAUCAGCAGGGAAGAAAAAAGACGGUACCUGACUAAGAAGCCCCGGCUAACUACGUGCCAGCAGCCGCGGUAAUACGUAGGGGGCAAGCGUUAUCCGGAUUUACUGGGUGUAAAGGGAGCGUAGACGGCAAUACAAGUCGGAAGUGAAAUACCCGGGCUCAACCUGGGAACUGCUUUGGAAACUGUAUGGCUGGAGUGCUGGAGAGGUAAGCGGAAUUCCUAGUGUAGCGGUGAAAUGCGUAGAUAUUAGGAGGAACACCAGUGGCGAAGGCGGCUUACUGGACUGUAACUGACGUUGAGGCUCGAAAGCGUGGGGAGCAAACAGGAUUAGAUACCCCUGUA
rnacentral:rRNA from 1 species